CCUACGUGUGGCAGCAGUGGGGAAUAUUGGACAAUGGGCGAAAGCCUGAUCCAGCCAUGCCGCGUGUGUGAAGAAGGCCUUCGGGUUGUAAAGCACUUUCAGUGGGGAAGAAAGCCUUGGGGCUAAUACCCUCGAGGAAGGACAUCACCCACAGAAGAAGCACCGGCUAACUCCGUGCCAGCAGCCGCGGUAAUACGGAGGGUGCGAGCGUUAAUCGGAAUUACUGGGCGUAAAGCGCGCGUAGGCGGUCUGAUAAGCCGGUUGCGAAAGCCCCGGGCUCAACCUGGGAACGGCAUCCGGAACUGUCAGGCUAGAGUGCAGGAGAGGAAGGUAGAAUUCCCGGUGUAGCGGUGAAAUGCGUAGAGAUCGGGAGGAAUACCAGUGGCGAAGGCGGCCUUCUGGACUGACACUGACGCUGAGGUGCGAAAGCGUGGGUAGCAAACAGGAUUAGAUACCCGAGUAGUC
rnacentral:rRNA from 1 species